CGCCAUUUCUCGCGAGACCGGGGACCAGGAAGACGCCCGCAGAGCCGGGCUGCUGGUGCAGCUGCGGCUGAGGCAGUCGCUGCUGCUGCCGCUGCAGCCUCCUGACUUCGCCUCCGAGCCUGCGCCUGGUCUCCGGGUGAGGAGGCGGGACGUGGCAAGGCCGGGGCUGCGGAAGCGAGCGGUGCCCGCUGAGGCUGAGCGGGGACUCAGGCCGCGGCCUGUCAGAGCCAGACAGGGAGGCGCCCACACUCCUGACAGUGUAAGAUGGCGGCGAUGGCGCCUGGAGGUGGCGGCGGCGGCGUGAACCCUUUCCUCAGCGAUUCGGACGAGGACGAGGACGAGGUCUCGGCGACCGACGAGCGGCGGGCAGGACUUCGGCUGGGUGCCGGAGGCGGCCUAGACCCGGGCUCUGCGGACUCGCUGUCGCCCCAGGACCCCGUGGCCUUGGGGAGCAGUGCCCGAGCGGGGCUCCCCGGGGAGGCGGCGGCGGCGGCCCUGGGGGGCCCUGGGGAGACCCCGGCCCGCCUGUCAAUUGAUGCGAUCGCGGCCCAGCUGCUGCGCGAUCAGUACCUGCUGACCGCCUUGGAGCUGCACACCGAGCUGUUAGAGAGCGGCCGGGAGCUCCCUCGGCUGCGCGACUACUUCUCCAACCCUGGCAACUUCGAGAGGCAGAGCGGAACGCCGCCGGGGACGGGGGCGCCGGGGAUCCCCGGGGCAGCCGGCCUUGGAGGCGCAGGAGGUCGGGAGCCGAGUACAACGUCGGGUGGGGGACAGCUCAAUCGAGCUGGGAGCAUCAGUACCCUUGAUUCUUUAGACUUUGCAAGAUAUUCAGAUGAUGGUAACAGGGAAACAGAUGAGAGAGUGGCAGUCCUGGAGUUUGAACUACGGAAAGCCAAGGAGACCAUUCAGGCCCUCCGAGCCAACCUGACGGAGGCUGCAGAACAUGAAGUUCCUUUACAGGAACGAAAAAAUUACAAAUCAAGUCCUGAAAUUCAGGAGCCAAUCAAACCUCUUGAAAAGAGAGCUCUAAACUUCUUAGUCAAUGAAUUUUUAUUGAAGAAUAACUACAAACUGACAUCAAUAACAUUUUCAGAUGAAAAUGAUGAUCAGGAUUUUGAACUAUGGGAUGAUGUAGGAUUAAAUAUUCCAAAACCUCCAGACUUAUUGCAGCUCUACCGAGAUUUUGGAAAUCAUCAAGUAACUGGAAAAGACCUUGUGGACGUGGCCAGUGGUGUAGAAGAAGACGAAUUAGAAGCUCUGACGCCAGUUUUAGGCAACCUUCCUUCAACCCUUGAAACUCCUCAGACUGUAGAGAACUCCUUGCUAGUGCAGAAACUAGAAGAUAAGAUUAGUUUAUUAAAUAGUGAGAAAUGGUCUUUGACGGAGCAAAUCAGAAGGCUUGAAAGUGAAAUGGACUUCCUCAAAAGUGAGCACUUUGCCAGCCCUGUCGUUUGUGACUCUGUUCAACCUUCUUUGGAUCAGUCUCCCCACAAAGACUCUGAAGACAGUGGACAGAAUUCAGUUAUAAAUAGUUUGGACAAGAGAGAAAACAAGGAUGUCCCUCUUUCAAAACCAGAUGAAGCUGAUUCUACUGUUCCUAAAGAGAGUUUCCCGCAGUCUUUCCCCGGAAGAGAGAGAGGAGGAAUGCCGUCUUCUUCUCCAUCAAGUAAAAGCACAGUCCAUUUUGAUAAACCCAAUAGGAAGCUGUCUCCUGCUUUCCAUCAAGCACUACUCUCUUUCUGUCGAAUGUCAGCGGAUAGUCGUUUAGGAUCAGAGGUGUCUCGGAUUGCAGACAGUGAGGCGAGCGUCAUGCUGAUGCUGGGGCGCUGCCUGCCGCACAUCGUGCCUAACGUGCUGCUGGCCAAGAGGGAGGAGCUGAUCCCCCUCAUCUUGUGCACAGCCUGUCUGCACCCCGAGCCCAAGGAGAGGGACCAGCUUCUCCACAUACUCUUCAAUCUGAUCAAGAGGCCCGACGACGAGCAGAGGCAGAUGAUACUGACGGGCUGUGUGGCAUUUGCACGUCAUGUUGGACCCACACGUGUUGAAGCUGAGCUUUUACCACAGUGUUGGGAACAGAUUAAUCACAAGUACCCAGAAAGAAGAUUGCUUGUGGCAGAAUCUUGUGGAGCGCUGGCACCUUACCUUCCUAAAGAGAUCCGUAGCUCCUUGGUUCUUUCAAUGUUGCAACAAAUGUUAAUGGAAGAUAAGGCAGAUUUGGUAAGAGAAGCUGUGAUCAAAAGCCUUGGUAUCAUUAUGGGAUACAUUGAUGACCCAGACAAAUAUCAGCAGGGUUUUGAACUGUUGCUGUCAGCCUUGGGUGAUCCCUCAGAAAGAGUCGUUAGUGCCACACAUCAAGUAUUUUUACCAGCCUAUGCUGCCUGGACUACAGAACUUGGAAAUUUACAGUCUCACCUUAUACCCACAUUGCUGAACAAGAUUGAAAAACUUCUCAGGGAAGGCGAGCACGGGCUGGAUGAGCAUAAGCUCCACAUGUAUCUGUCUGCCUUGCAGUCCUUGAUCCCAUCUCUCUUUGCAUUAGUGCUACAGAACGCACCCUUCUCCAGCAAAGCCAAGCUUCAUGGUGACGUGCCACAGAUAGAAGUGACUAGGUUCCCUCGGCCUAUGUCCCCUCUUCAAGACGUGUCCACUAUUAUUGGAAGCCGUGAGCAACUGGCGGUGCUCCUGCAGCUCUAUGACUACCAGCUGGAGCACGCGGGCACAACCGGCUGGGAGAGCUUGCUGUGGGUUGUCAAUCAGCUGUUGCCACAGCUUAUAGAAAUAGUUGGCAAAAUUAACGUUACUUCAACUGCCUGUGUCCAUGAAUUCUCCAGAUUUUUCUGGCGCCUUUGCCGGACAUUUGGCAAAAUUUUUACAAACACUAAGGUAAAACCUCAGUUCCAGGAGAUUUUAAGGCUGUCUGAAGAAAAUAUUGAUUCCUCAGCAGGAAAUGGGGUCCUCACUAAAGCUACUGUCCCCAUUUAUGCAACAGGAGUCCUUACGUGUUACAUCCAGGAAGAAGACCGAAAGCUGUUGAUUGGAUUCUUAGAGGAUGUAAUGACCUUGCUUUCAUUAUCUCAUGCUCCUCUUGAUAGCCUGAAAGCUGCUUUUGUGGAACUGGGUGCGAAUCCAGCUUACCAUGAGCUACUGCUGACUGUUCUGUGGUAUGGUGUUGUCCACACGUCAGCACUCGUGAGGUGUACUGCUGCCAGGAUGUUUGAGCUCUGUCAGGAUUGCUACGAUUCCAGCCUUUGGCACGAUUAUGGAAACAGUUAUUCAAAGAGAGUUGCUGGAAAGAGUGAAAAUGCAGUUGGCUUCUUUCCUGGAAGACCCUCAAUAUCAAGACCAAUAUUCUCUGCAUACAGAGAUCAUAAAAACAUUCGGUAGAGUUGGGCCUAAUGCAGAGCCAAGGUUCCGAGAUGAGUUUGUUAUACCGCACCUGCAUAAGUUAGCCUUGGUGAACAACUUGCAGAUCGUGGACUCUAAGCGGCUGGACAUCGCCACCCACCUCUUUGAAGCCUACAGUGCACUUUCCUGCUGCUUCAUUUCAGAGGAUUUAAUGGUUAAUCACUUUUUACCUGGUCUCAGAUGUUUACGCAUCGACAUGGAACAUCUUUCUCCAGAGCACGAAGUUAUUUUGACUUCCAUGAUAAAAGAAUGUGAACAAAAAGUAGAGAACAAGACCGUCCAAGAGCCUCAAGGCUCAAUGUCAAUUGCUGCAAGCCUAGUGAGUGAAGAUGCGAAGACCAAAUUCUUGAACAAAAUGGGCCAGUUGACAACAUCGGGCGCCAUGCUGGCCAACGUGUUUCAGAGGAAGAAGUAAGAGCGGGAAGGAGGCCCCAGCGAACACUGAGAUGGACCUCAAGCAGACUGGUUCCUUGUACUUGAAGUACUUGCCUUUUUUAUUGCUCUGUUUUUUGUUCUUGCAUCAUAAUUUUAUCUUAACCUCCAAAGACACUUGCACUGCUUUUGAUUGUUGCUGUAUAUCUGUAAUUUUGGAAUUCCAACUGUGGUGAUGAAAAAGCUGAGCUGAUAGUCUGUACCAAGUCCCCCUCUAUGUUCUUGUCUUUCAGAAUAUUUUUUUUAUAUAUAAUAUAUAUAUAUAGUGAAUAGUUUUUUUUUUAAUUUUUGGAUGGGAUAUUAGCAAAUACUUGUAUGAUACACUAAGCUAUUUACAAUGGUACUUAAAAUAAUGUAAAUUUGAAGUCAUUGUUAUAAAGUAAUAAAAAUGGAGAUUACUUAAGUAUUUAAAUUAUGAAAGUAUGAUGCAGACUUUUUAUUGUUUCUUAACUGACUAGAAAGAGCCACCAGCAUUACUCCGUGCCUUUUGGACUUCAGUUUGUGUGUCUGUAGGAGUUGUGUGCAUUCCAUUCACACAGUAUUUAUAAUGCUGUAAUGAAUCUGAAUUACAAAUCCUACAGUCAGUAGAUAAUAAUGUAACUUUCAACAUUUCCGCGCUCUCAUGAAUAUUCUUUUAAGUGCUAUUUAAAUCUCCCCAUCACUUAUAUGAAUAUAAUGGGCUUACCUGAGGGAGGAGAGCACGUGUCGUGUCGCGUGGGGAGUGGUAACGAAGGUGAAUUUUACCAACUGGUGUGUAGUAGAUUUAAAUACCAAACAAAAUUUAAGUAAGAAGAGCUAAUAAUUGUGACAUUUUUUUUUUCCCAACUGGAAAUACAGAAGAAAGUAUGGCUCGGAUCUAAAAGUUAAUGCUUAUUUGCAUAAAACAUUCUAUUUAAGGUGAUAAAUUUUCUGAUGAAUUUUAAUUUCAGAGAUUAUCUUUUCAUCCUAUGUAGUACAGAGAGGUACAGAAAAGUUCAGGACGUUUGGGGCUGCUUUUUUCCCUCUAGACAAAAAAAGACAUUGGCUUCCUUACUAUUGGUCUCAGUCAUCAGCUUGUCCCUUAAAGUCAGUGGCUGUUCUUGUGUUUGACAUAUAUCGCAUAGAGUCUUAAGUCAGUGUACAGUUCCCCUGGAAUCUGGCAGUUGUCUGUCAAGUAAGGCAACUUGCAGUAGAAAAGAGGGAUCCUGGACGUGGGAGGGAGGUGGUUGGUUUAAGGGUUUAAUGUGAGGCCUUUCUGAAAAAUGCGUAUUUUGGUAAAGAGAAUUCUCUUUUGAGCACAUAUGGGUGAUUGUCAUGUUUGUUGUAUAAACUGGUUUUAAUACUCUUGGAAUAUAGUUGGAUUACAUUCAUGGGCAAAACUAGCUUACCACACAUUGAAGCUUAUAAAAAAUAAGUUGCCAUAGGCAGAGCCAUUUAAAAAGUUUAUUCUGAAAUUAUUUCUUUAACCUACAGUGAAAUAAUUGUUAGCUAGUAUAUUACGGAAACUGUUGGAUUCUAGGCAUUCCUGAGAAAUUAAAAGUGGCUUCCUUUCAUGUCAAAAAUGUUGAUCUAUUAUAAAUAAAAUGUUUUUGCAUACUUAUUUUGGUUUUGAUUUUGGCUAUGUGUAUUUAUUUUCAUUUUGAAACACUAUAUCCUCCAGCCAAGCAAAAGAGAAAUGAGAAACUGUAUAUUCACUUAAAUGUAUUUUAAUUUAGGAAUAUAAUCUCUAUAAGUUACCUCGUUUAGUUUACUUUUGUUUAAAAAGCAUUAUGUUGUAUAAAAUGAAAACAUUUCUGAGAUGAUUUAAAGAAAAAAAUGUUUGAAUUCUCAUUUGCUUUGAACUAUAGCAACACUAGUAUGUUUGUUACCUGAUGAAUAAAUAUAAUGUAUUUUUAAUGUGAUACGUUUUAUUAAUUUGUGAAUCCAUUUAUCCAAAUGCUAACAGGUUUUCAUGAAAGGCGCCAUGCAGCAAGAUAUGCAGUGUGUUUCGAGUCCCUCUUACUAUGCUAUUAAACAUCUUAAUGUCA